GCUGUGGCUCAGUGGUAGAGCACUUGCCUAACAUGUGUGAGGCACUGGGUUCAAUUCUUAGCACAGCA
rnacentral:tRNA from 1 species